AGUGGCGGCACCGCCCCCUCCUCCUGGCACGGCUGGGCUGCCACAGCGCCUGCUCGGCUGAGGUGCAGUGAGUUCACAACCUGGAGCUGGCGUUAGGCUCGGUGGCGGUGGAAGAGCAGCUGAAGGCUUCGUGCGCGCCCCUGUCCCUGCGCCUAGGGAGGCAGCAUUGUGCGCCCUGGCCCAAAAUGGUGGCCUCUUCGGAAGGAUGCGCCCCAGGGCACCUCAGAAGACGUGCAAAGGUAGCGCAGUCGAGACUUGCGAAGGAGAUGGGACAGUGAUGCUACCCCUCGUCGGACCCAGAAGUUGCCAGGAGAUGGGGACUUGGGUGGGGGGUGACCAGGACUCCAUGCGUGGCAAAUCAAGUGUCUUCGAGCCUGGGGAUUUUGAGCCGCUGUAGCGCAGGGACCGUGGUCAGCCCUGGUAGAGACCCUGCGUCAUGCCUGGCGGGCCGCGCAGAUCCGAAACUCAGAAUCCUUUGAGCAACGCUUGGAUUCACAGGUCUAUUUACAGAGUUCUUGGUGAGCGGGCAUUUUCUCCCUGCGCGGCGCGUCCCCAGACCUCUCCGGCCUUCCUUCCUGGACCGCACUGGUCUGGUGACUUAAAAUUCAGUUCUCACAUACCCUUCUGUUUCUCCCGGGGCCCUAGAAAACCUGGUGCACACAGAACUGCUGGACUCUGCCGGUGGUCUCUGCAGUUGGGUGCCUGAACAGGGACUUGAGAUAAGGGGAAGCGGUGAAGGACACCACGGUGUUGGCAAGCUUGGAUCAUAAACUAAAGAGAAACGGGCACGGAUACAAAAGGAGCUUGGUGGAUCCCAGAAAAGGUGGUGCGAUUUGCCAGAGCUGUUUCCCAGAUGGAGGAUGCUCCUGCUGCUGACAAUAAUGAAUUUUGUCCUGAUGGUGAAUUGAGAGCUGUAUUGGGCUUGUGCUCCUGACCCACCUUUGUUUCAUUCUGCUUCUGGGAGAAGAUGUGCAGAGAAACUUUUUAGAUACAAUGUGACUAGAAUAGACAGAUACAUACUUGAUUAGUCUGGUAAUCAGGACAAUUCUCAACAAAAUCGGGAGGAUAAAAAAAAAGGACUGACUAUGGGUCUUUGGUCUGAUUCUGGUUUUCAGCAGACCUAUAUUUGGAAGCUUGCCACAGAAACUCUUAGGAGGCCCUGUAACUGCCUGUGUAAAUUCUCCUUUGUUGUGUGGAAAUAUUAACAUUUUUAUACACACUUCAAACUUAAUGUUUCUUGCUAAGCCUUCAAAUGGACAACAGGUUCAGGUUGUUUGACAGCCUUCUUUUAUUAUGGUUCCUGUGAAUGUUUCUCAGGCUUGGUAUUUUGAUAAGGGGUCAUCUUUUAAGUCACGUUUGGUAAGAAUAUAUCUUUCAAGAGAGACAACCUAAGAUAAGCACAAUCUUCUGCUCUAUAACUCUUAAGUUAUGGUCAAUUUUAAAAAUAUAAAAAAGGGAGACCUGUGGAGAGCUGUUUGUUUUCACCCUGGCCUUCACCUGGAGACAGUGAUAGGCAGGAUGUUUUGCCAAGUUACUUCCCUUUUGCUUGUGUGAAGAUCACACAGACGAAUGGUGGAGGUGAACAAGUUUGACUUCUCUUUCAAUCCUCACCCCCCACUCAGGAACUGUUUGACUCUGCCAGCAGGCUCCAGCAACAGAUCCUCCUGCCCCUGACUCCCAAGUGGUGGGAUUAAAGGCGUGUGCCACCCACACUUUGUAAAAUUAAAAUUUGUAUUACUCACUCAAAUAUACUGUAAAUUGAAAUAAAUAAAAUAAAGUUUUAAGCCAGG